CCUACGGGAGGCAGCAGUGGGGAAUAUUGCACAAUGGGCGCAAGCCUGAUGCAGCCAUGCCGCGUGUGUGAAGAAGGCCUUCGGGUUGUAAAGCACUUUCAGCGGGGAGGAAGGCGGUGAGGUUAAUAACCUCAUCGAUUGACGUUACCCGCAGAAGAAGCACCGGCUAACUCCGUGCCAGCAGCCGCGGUAAUACGGAGGGUGCAAGCGUUAAUCGGAAUUACUGGGCGUAAAGCGCACGCAGGCGGUCUGUCAAGUCGGAUGUGAAAUCCCCGGGCUCAACCUGGGAACUGCAUUCGAAACUGGCAGGCUAGAGUCUUGUAGAGGGGGGUAGAAUUCCAGGUGUAGCGGUGAAAUGCGUAGAGAUCUGGAGGAAUACCGGUGGCGAAGGCGGCCCCCUGGACAAAGACUGACGCUCAGGUGCGAAAGCGUGGGGAGCAAACAGGAUUAAUACCCUGGUAGUC
rnacentral:rRNA from 1 species